rnacentral:rRNA from 1 species
GAUGAACGCUGGCGGCGUGCCUAAUACAUGCAAGUCGAGCGAACAGACGAGGAGCUUGCUCCUCUGACGUUAGCGGCGGACGGGUGAGUAACACGUGGAUAACCUACCUAUAAGACUGGGAUAACUUCGGGAAACCGGAGCUAAUACCGGAUAAUAUAUUGAACCGCAUGGUUCAAUAGUGAAAGACGGUUUUGCUGUCACUUAUAGAUGGAUCCGCGCCGCAUUAGCUAGUUGGUAAGGUAACGGCUUACCAAGGCAACGAUGCGUAGCCGACCUGAGAGGGUGAUCGGCCACACUGGAACUGAGACACGGUACAGACUCCUACGGGAGGCAGCAGUAGGGAAUCUUCCGCAAUGGGCGAAAGCCUGACGGAGCAACGCCGCGUGAGUGAUGAAGGUCUUCGGAUCGUAAAACUCUGUUAUUAGGGAAGAACAAAUGUGUAAGUAACUAUGCACGUCUUGACGGUAACUAAUCAGAAAGCCACGGCUAACUACGUG